AUCUUGCCUAAAGGCCGCCUAUUUGAAAGACAAUGUAGAACAACAAAAGAUUUAUGAGUCUGUCAGAUGAGUGUUUGACGGCCUCGACGCAGUGCUAUUCCAAAUUAACCGUGGAUUGUGGAGAAGAUAGGCACCAUCACAUCUCAUCACAUCACAGGGUUUUGCCCAGACAUCAGGCACAGUUCUUCUACCUGAGCCCCCGUUUAUAGAUGGUCUCAUCUAACGGCACAGCGAGGAGUGCCAUCAUUCACUGAGAUUAGGCUGUCUACCACCUCUGCCCCGCAUUUCCAGGCCUACCAGCCCCAAGUGAUGUAAGAGAACACUGCCCAUGAACCUGCAGCCAUUGCUCGCUGUUUAAACUAUCAAAGAAUAAAAAACACAUCCCAUGCUGUUAAACCAAAGUAUAUCUUCAUAAGUAUACAGCACUGUCAAAUGGUCCAUAUUAAAGAUGUGGUUGUUUGUACAUGUGAGUGUUGUGGUAAAAAAGAAAAAAAC